UCUGUUUCUAGGCAGUGGUGGCAGGAGAAAGCAUCUCAGCUCCAGUUCAGCCCAGGGUUAUGCUCUGGGGGAGCAACCAAUCUCUGGCUCAGAGCUCUCGCUCCAUUUGAUUUAGGCAAGAGCCUGGACAUAGUCUUUGCUAUUCCGCACUGGUUGGAGAGAAAAAGAAAAAACCCCGAACCUUAAACUUCCUGACCUCUAUGCCUGUUACAUCUGACCAUACAAAGUACUGAGAAUUUAUGCCAGGGGGAAGCCUUUCAGAUCAGAGACCUUUUGUAAGGUGGGAACUGUCAUUACUCUGUUGGGGUCCCAAUGCAUGAGAGGGGCUCCAAGGCAGUGUAUUCAUGCCCAUCUGUGGCAUGGAUGUUGUUGAAUUUAAAAUUAUUAUCAGCUUUGGUAAUAGGUCAGAAAAGUAACAAACCAAACAGAUUAUGGUUGUAUCUGGUGUCUCAGAUACACCUUUGCUUUGGAGUUCCUGUAUGUAGCUAGUUUUUUUUAGCAUAGUUUGGGGAACAUUUAAAUAAUGAAUUUAAACAGGAGAAUUCUAUUUGCAUUCAGUUAAUGCUUGAUGGAUUGAACAUGUGGGUUUUCCUCAUCUCCACUGUGUUAUUUAAGCAUUUCAGUAAAAGUGCAAAAAAAGGUCUUGAAAAUGUUAUUUGCAGCUGUUGUUGCUACUGUGCAUCGUCCUGCCUGCUCUUUGGCUGCACACGGAGAGUACUGCUGGAAGGUACGGGUCCUGCUACACCGAGAUAGAAAGAUCAGUGUUAAAGUGAAGGUGGAUAAGAGGUUGUUAUUUGCAGACCAAAAUCACCAGGGCAUAAGAGUUUUUAAACCCUUUAAAAAUAAUUCUCUUUCUACAAUUCAAGUGAAAUUUGCACUGUCUUGGAAAUGUCCUUAAAAUCUUCAUUAUAGAGAAGAAAUCUGUGCAGAUUAAACACUCUAAGUCUGACCAUUUGAGAGGUAAGACAAUCACUAUAAUUAUAAAUACUUCUGUUGUCAUGUGUGAUCAAGUGGUUUCGCUGUUGUAGCUUAAAUAUAUUAACUUUAACCCUUUUUAAUUACGGAUUUAGCACAAUGGUGACUGAGUCCCUCCUAGAAUCCGGCAAUCACCCCGGGCCUCUCUUUAUGCUCAAAAUAUGUAGACUAAUAGAGAGAAAUUCCAAGGAGGAUAGAAAACAUGACUGAGAAGUUGGAAGGAUUUUUUUAUGAGGAAAGAUUAGGAGAAUGAAAUGGGGAGCUUUAGUUAAAUGGGAUUAAAAGCAACUAAUCUGCAUGGCUUUUAUAGUUUCAAGGGAUGAAACCCAUAAUUCCUCUUAAAUUAACUAUGCUUCAUUCUUCAAGCUUGUGUAUCAGAUAUCUGAUUACUGCUUUACUUAUUAAAGAAUAACUUCUACUAUCAACAAUUUUGAUUUUUCAUAAUUGUAAGAAAAGAAACUGUUCAGAGGAGCAAAAUGAUAACAAAGGGAUGGGUUAUAACUGGGGACAAGCAUACAGAGUGUUCAGAUGAGGAAUGGCAUUGCUUGACUUGGUAAAUAUUGAUUCUGACUAUCAGGAAAGAGAAUUUUUUAAAGCUAACGAUAGCUGGGCACAGGCCCAGACUUCCUCUCAGUAGCACCUACAGGUAGCAAAACAGUUUUUCAGAAGGGAUUCUAGGAUCACCAUUGCAAGAAACACAGAUUACCAGUUUGGAUUAAGAACUGGGACAAGAUUUAGCAGUGAGAGCAACCUGACAGACCCAAGUUACACAGUAAUUCUUGCAUUUGGUAAUUUUUCUUAUCUUCUUUUUUUUUUUUUUUAAUAAAAUAUGAAUUGCCUCACAUGCAUACAGACAGCUUUGAUGUGAUUUAUUAUUAUCAUUAGAAACUAUCUUGAGAAAAAUUUCAUUAUGAGUUUUUCCAGGAACUUUCUAUACCUUCAGAAAGGGGCAGCAUGUGUCUUAAAAAUUUUUAUACUAACUUAAAUUAAUCCAAAACCAACAGCUUUAUGCAAACAUAAACCAAAAUUAAUGCAAUGAUGAAUUGGGGCCCACAUCUUGGACCUUUCUGAAUCCUAAAUAACAAAUACAAGGAAGAUGUGGUUUGUUAUGAACUGGAUAUUUUUUUAACUUUACAGGAUUAAUGGAACUUCACAAGAAAAAUUUUCUUAAGAGAUGGAGGAUAAACAAUUCUUACAGAUUGCAGUUUCUACUUGAAACACUUCACAACAAAAACAGCCCUUAAUAACUGAGGUGAAGUGUGAAACACAGGCUAUUGGACUCUGACAAAACCUGGAAAGAUCACUAAGAUCAGCUUUCAGGUAAGCAUAAAUAAGGAGAUGGAAUGUCUCAUUUUACCUGUGAAUUUUACAUAUUGAAGCUGGGAUUAAAGUCUGUCUUGAGUUCUUGCAGUGGAAACAAAGCUAACCUUUCAGUUCUUGGUUAGCUACAGGGAUUUUAGCAUUUCCUUUAUAGCAUGCACCUUAAAGAGCAGAAGAGAGGCAGCUCAGGUAAGUGCUUUGGCAGCCUUGAAUGCUUUGCAAUCUCUGUAGAGCAGGACAUAACAUGGUCAAUCUCUCUUUCCCAGCUAGUUUACAGCACAGUAAGCUUGCUAUUGUUGAUAGCGUGGAAUAGCUGUACACUAGAACAAUGGUAAACCUGUGCUGGGUAAUUAAGCAGUGCAAUUCCUAACUGACUGGAAUUUUAAUAUGUAUAGAUUGGAAAUGUGUGGGAAAGGUUCACAAAAUUUCCUCUGAACCUUGUGAUAUAUGAUCCUGCAAUGGGUUUCAGUUGUGUUCAGUGCAAGAGUUCCUCGAUGGGGAAACCUUCUAUACAGAACUAAUAUUGUGUAACCCAAAUCUGGGUGGGUUUUAUUUAUUGCCAAGUUAGGGGUUCACAUUGUCCUAAGAGAAUUGCUUUUCUUACUCCUGUGUGACUUCAGAAACAAAUGGUAUUUGUGCAUUGAUUGAUGUCAAUAGGAUUUCCACUACUGAGUGGAGGGGGGGGGGUGGGUAGUGAUGCUGGGACAUCCUCUUAAAUGUUGGCAGUGCCCCUACAGACCUGCUGUUUCUGAACAGAGAAGGGCUGGUGGUAGAUGUGGUGGUUGUAGGCUAUCCUGGGUAGCGACAAUGAAAUGAUAAGGCUUUUCAAUCCUCAAUGAAGUACGGAAGGGGGUCAACAAAACUUCUGCCUUGGACUUCUGGAGGGGGGACUUCAGUCUGUCCAGCACACUGGUUCAGAGAAUCCUUUGGGAAAUAGCCCUUAAAAACAAAAGGGUCCAGGAAGGCUGGACAUACUUUAAAAAGGAAAUCUAAAGGGUGCAGGGGCAGACCAUCCCUAUGUGCUGACAGGUGAAUUGGCAGGGAAGACCACCAGCCCGGAUGAACAGGGAGCUUUGCUGAAAUACAGGGACAAAAAAGAGUUUAUAACCUUUGGAAGAAGGGAUAGGCAACUCAGAAAGAAUACAAGAAUGUUGUUAGGUCACAUAAAGUAAAAAUUAGAGAGGCGAAAGCUCAGCUAGAACUCAAUCUGAGUGGUUAGAACAGCCACUGCUGUGAAAGAUAACUGAAAGUGUUUUUAUAAAUACAUUAACAACAAAAAGAGGGCCAAGGAAAAUUUGCAUCCUUUAUUGGAUGCGGAGGGGACCAUUGUAACCAAGGAUGAAGAAAAGGCUGAGGUACUUAAUGCUGCCUUUCCCUUCAUCUUCAACAGAAAGACCAGUUAUCCUCAGCUGAACUGGUCCCCCCGAGCUGGUAAACAGGGACUGGGAGCAGAGCAGAUGCCAUGGUAUCCAGGAGGAAGUAGUUACUGAUGUCCUGUUCCACUCGGACACACUCAAGUCUAUGAGGCCCAAUGGGAUUUACCUGACGGUGCUAAAGGAGCUGGUGGAGGAGCUCUCCAAGCCAAUCCAUCAUUUAUCAUCAGUCCCAGUUAACCAGGGAGGUACUAGAUGACUGGAGGUUGGCCAAUGUGACGUACAUCUACAAGAAGGACUGGAAGGAGGGUCUGGGGAACUAUAAGUCUGUCA